AAGCAGCCACAGAGCUAUCUGCAGAGUACUACUUCAAUCACUCAAAAAAUACAAGCCAAAUGGUAAAGACCACAUAAUCUUUCCAAACCAUGACAGAUCAAAUAAAUAAUAAGUAAUCUAGGCACAGAAACAGCCUGAAAGUAUACUGUAAAGACUGCAAUUUUCUUAUAUAACUUAAUUGAUGUGUCGACUCAAUUAGUUAUUUGUUUUCUUCUACAUUAACAUCAAUGAAAGCCACUAUUAUCUGCAUCAACAUGACAUAAGGAAAAGAUACUUUUUUUAUACAACUUAAUGGAUUUGUCAACCCAUUCAGUUAUUUGUUUUCUUCUCAACUAACAUCAACAAAAGCCACUAUCAUUUGCAUCAACAUAACACAAGGAAAAGAUUCCCUAAAACCCAAGUUUUAAGUUCCCAGAUUACCAGACUGGCUUCAGCUGUCAUGGUUUUGUAGUAUCACUCAGUUUUAUCCAAAGCCCGUUUGUUUUAGUUUGGUUUCGGUUAAAACCAACACAUAAAAAGGCUUGUGUAUCCUUCACUCAGUCUUUUAUCCCUUUCUUGUUUUUCUUUUCACUUUCAGGGAAAACAUGCCAUGGUACAUGGAAUCAACCUCAUAGAAACAUUUUAAUAAUAUAUAGCAUAGGAAAUUUGCAAAUUUUCAGGAGGCCUGGAUUCUAUAUAUAUAAAUAAGUAAAUAUUGAGAAGUGUAAAUUUUUCAACCAUAUCUCUGUAAAAUUGGUCAAUAUUUAGCAGAAUCUUUCAUCCACAAAUGUCCAAAUCUGGAAAACGGACUAGUUGAAAGAAAUACAGAUUUACUUUUUAACCGAUAAUUUCUUAUUUUAGAACUUCAACACAUGUAUAUUUUUUUUAUGUAUGAAGCAUGUUGGAUGUGUUCAUUAUCAAAUUCUAUAGCCAUUCUUGUGGGUACAUGUUGCCAUGGUUAUUUGCUUUCCCAUAAGAAUAAGAGGUGACACCAAAUAGUAAAUAUUGUAGUGAUUCAUAUUUCAACAGUCACUCUUACUAUUGGAAAAAAUACUUUAAAUCAGCUGAUUCAUGUUUUCUAGCUAACAGUACCAUUACAAUGAAGCCUCGUCUCACUAUUUAACGUUGCCUUUAUGACAACUCACAAAAGCAUUAUGUUGUCUAAAUGUUAUGCUAAAAGGAAUUUACUCAAAUUUACUCAUCAUUCAAAAAUGCAUUUUGUAGGACGCAGAUGAUAUAGUGAGAUUAAGCAGCUCAAAUGCUAUUUUUUGUAUGGUAAUUACGAGUCUCUUGAAAUCUGCACAGAAUAUUGACUUAACUAACCAGUUUGCUGUUCAAACCAUAACCCAGAGCAUCUUAAUGAAACCCCAGGGGCAUUCAUUAACCAAGCAAGAGAAACUUUAACUAAUUAAAUAUGUCAUUAAUUGCACAAUCAUAAUAAUGCAUGCCACUACCACAAUAGGGUUAUUAACUUUUAGGAAUACCCCAAGUCAUUUCUUAACAUGUCCAAUAUUUUCAACUGUCUUAUGCGAUUUCUCAUGUGUUCAUCCACCAGCAUUAGCUGUCAAUACUUGUGAAUGCACCCAUUCAAGGCUCAAACCCAUAAUUUCUGAUUACUAAGCACGGGGUUAUAACCACUGAGGUGAGCCCCAGUUCAUAGUUUGGCAUAAUUUCAGAUUCCCCUAAAUCUAUAGGGCAGCAAAUAUUGAAUCUCAGUUCACUAUAACAAAACAUAAAUGGUAUAUUUGCAAGUAACAAACCAAAUGAAAAUUUUAACGAUGUUUGCAACUAUAAGUUAAUAAAAUAUGAAGAUUUAAGUUGCACCACAAUUUCAAAUUUUGUAGACAUAUCAACUUUUUGAGCAUUAUUAUAUAAAAUGAUUGACAGAUGUGUGCAUCUUCAUAUCAUUAAUAUGUACUGCCACUAAAGAGAUGUAUCAGAUCUCAAGCCUAGCUGUUGAACUAAUUGAUAACAAGAAUAACUAAAUAUUUUUCGAUCAUUUAUUUCGAUGGAAAAAAGUGUUUGAAAGAUAUCAAAAAAAUGUACCUUGCAGAAAAAGUGUAAGUCCACACUCAAAGCAUCUUUCUAAUCACAAUAUUGUGACUCCACCUACCACUUCCAAGAUUGGAGAAACUAUAGCCCACCCAUCACCCAAAUAAUGAAUGAAGUUAGUUCAUAAAAAUUAAUCUCUCAGCUACUUUUGAAUCUUUCACCUCUUUUUUCAUGCAUAGGGCUAGAAAUGAGCAUAUAUGGGUUCAAGACUUACCAACCAGGCCAGGCCUCAUUCACAUGGGGCUAGGACAAAAUAUCAAGGUGCAAAAUGAUUCUAGACAAACUCUGGCCACUGCAUAUACUCAUUGCCCCUAGAAAAAGCCGUUUGCAUGACUGAGCACAAGUAGAGCCUUAGUCAAAAGCUUGCAAGAAUUUUACCUCCUACUAUUAGAGCACCUACUUCCUUUAGUCUUGAACAACCUCAUAUUCCACGACCACCUAAAGCAGUUGCCGGGCCAAAGUGAUGGAGAUCCAAGUUUGUGCCACGUUGCAUCAUGCUGCAGCUUAGAUUUUUAUUAUAUUUGAUUAUCAUUUUUUAUGUAUUUUUCUUUUAUUUUCUGGUUAUUUUCAAUUUCAAUGGGUUAUUUUGGAUUCUAGGUUGAGAUUUAAAGAUCUCAAUACUUAUCUAGGAACCUAACUGCUGUAGCAUAUUACAAUUAAUGGCACUGUACAUGUUACAGUAAUCAUGAAUAGUAAGUGCGUCUUAUUAGGAGCAGUUUUGGAUUUUAAAAGAGUUGAAUUAGAAUUUCUGUUUUGUUAUAAAAAGGGGACGCUUAGUGUUUGAUAUAAUCACAGUUUAAGCAGAUUAUGAAUGAAAUAAUGGAGUCUUCAGUUUUCUUUACUCUUGUAGUGUGAGGUCUUGAAACCCUAAGUGUGACUCCAAGGUUUUAGUAUGAGUCCAGUAUUAUCUUUUCCCUUCUCUUAGUUUUUUUUUCUAUGUUUGAUCCCCUAGAGACUUAUUUGGACUUACUUCCUUGUCUCUUAUUCAUCUCUUAUCGAUCUCUAUUUUGGGUUUCACAUCCCAAAAGAUUUUUUUUGGUCAUAUAAAUAUCAGAUUUUCUUUCAAACUAUUCCUGCAAGCACGCGAUUUCAUAUAUUUAAAUGCAUAAAUCCUAAAAGUCUCAAUUUAACCUGUAGAAUCUUAAAUUUUAGGUUAGAGAGUAGCUAUUCAUUAACUAUUCUCUUCAAAAAUAUUAUCUUUCUAGUUUAGUUUUAUCGAAAACUAAGAUCUGCGAUUGAAUUUCCAGUACAUUUCAAUCAUAUCCUAAGCCAUUCUAGAUCCCCUUCACCUGUCCUACAUCACACAGCUUUGAAGCAUUGCUUAUGUUGCACCAUAAACCAGCAGGACCAGAAGCAUCAACCUCCUCGAGCCAUUGCCCAACCACCUAGGAAGCACGGAUGCUUCAAAUUACAUGUGUCUGUAUCAGAAGGCAAUCAUGAGCAAGCGCCACGUGGACCAGUCAAAGUGGAUGAUAGUCACAUGACCCUUGCUGGACUGAUAGAGUUCGGCUGUGAUAAUCAAACAUGAAGGCACAAGCCAAAGGAGGAAGAUUCAGCAAUGACAUUGACAAGCAAGCCAAGAGAUUAAGACUGGGUCGUGAUCAACCGCAAUACAAGGUGGAUGCAUUGGUCUCAAGAGUCUCCCAAGGCAUAAAAGGCCAUUAAAGAGAAACGGCCAACAUAAGCCAUGUAGGGAUAGGGCAAAGAAAGUUUAACGAUGACCAAGGCUGAUAGAGUAUGAAUAUUGGUCAAACAAUUAGUACAAAGUGGCCAUUUUCAUGGUCAUGCAAUAGUAGGAAGACGACCGCAAUUAGUUACCAAAACUACUACAAGUCGAGACUUGAUGCGGAUAACCGUCAAAGUGAGCAGUUAUUAUAUUUUAAUAUAAAUAAUGGAUUUGUACUAUGUAAUAGGACCCUUCGACAUCCAAAUCAAUGCAAUUUAUCUUAUCUAAGUUCUUAAUCUACCAGUAGUUUAUACCUUAAGUGCAGUGGUAACUUAAAUUAGAUUUCUACUAUCAUAGCCUUAUGCUACAUCCCUAUUCCUUAUACAGAUCCAUCUCACUCAAACGGUAGUAUAAUAGUGGCAAAAAAUUUUGAGGUCAAAGCACCUGGACCCAUGGUUGAUGGAACCGUCCCGAACCGUUCGGUUCAGGGCGCACCAAGUCGUAUCUGCGGCAGACUGGAAUGGUUCCGACAACCAAAACGAGAAACUGGGAUGGAAGAGAUGAAGAAGGAAAGAGAGAAAAAGAGAGAGAGCAGUGAAGGGAGAGGAAAAGGAAGAAAGAGAGGGAAAGUGGCUGUCAGUCGAGGGCUGCGAAGGGCUGGAGAGCCGCGCAGAGGGGCAGAGGAGGGGUUCCACCUCCGGUUACCCUGUUUCUUUUGAAACAGGGGUCCCCGAGGGGACUUCUUUUUAUUUUCAAAAUUUUUAAGUAAAGUUGAAAUCCUUCGGGAGUCUUGUUUCAAAUGAAAUAGGAAAACCAGAGGCAGAACUUCCGCCGGCCUCCUCUCUCCCUCCCUCUCUCCCUCUUCUCUCGCUCUCUUUUUUUAUCUUCGGUUCUCCCUCUCCCCCACCUCCUCUACUAUGUCGGUAUGGGCCAGCACAAAACAACAUAGAAAUGUACCGACCCAUGCCAUCGAAAAACCGGUCUGCACCCCAGUUCCGGCACAGCAAUCCUUGCCUGGACCUACAAACUCCUAUAAUUCAAUUACCUUUAAUAAAAGACAUCACCACCAUCUUUUCGGCUAAUCUAAUACCGAUGGCAUGCUCGUGCACAUAUCUACCCCUUGCUAUUAGGCUUGUCAACUCUCUCUAUCAGACGACCGAGUUUCUUAGGACAAGGAGUUCCUUGGCACACCUAGACACGAUGGAAAGGGUGGGAACAGUGAUGUAUGUAGAUAUACAUAUGUGUGCAUGACAAUCUAGAUGUAUAUGUAUUUGUACAUAUGCAUAUGCAUGGUAUAUGCAUAUGUAUGUAAAUAUGUAUGCAUAUUAAUAUAUCUUAGCCAUAUCAUACUAUAUUCUUCAAGAUUUGCCAUAUCGAUGGAUUUGUACCGUGUAACAGCUAUAUCGCAUAUCCAUGUUGAUGCUUCUAGCCUACCACAAGCAAUCACAUAGAAAUUAGUUUAACACUACUUCAGAACUUCUGAGCUGUCACCUCCAAAGGGAAGAUUCUCACCUCCUUCAUACCGUUACCACAGAAUAUCUUCUCCUACUUUUAUCUUUGAAUUGACAAGCGAGUUAGUUGAUUAUAUUCUAAUACUUAAAAUAUGCAUAAAACCUAUUGCAUGUACCAAAGAUGAACUUGAAUGGGAUUGAGAAGGAUAGUUACUGUACAACCAAUAGAAAGGGCCUAAAAUGGAUAGACAAAGUUUAUGGCCAACACCAAUUCGAAGUGGUGCUUGACUGUAUUAUGGAGGAGGACAAUGUAAAUAGCAAUAGUAGACACAAUGACAAAUGUUGACAGCAUGUUUGAUAAGUAUUUUGCUUGCAUUAAGCUAAAAUUUUUGGACUUCACUCAUUUCCUUUUAAUAUGAAACUAAAUUUAAGAACUUUACUAUUGCGCACUCUUAAAUUUAUCUAUUAUCAAACUUUGAUAUAGUUACAAUUAUUUAACAUGAUUCGGGGAAUAUGUUGUUUAUAGUGACUUUUAAAGUGUUCUAAUAUAUAUCAAGCUACCAAUAACCAUAUAUUAAAAUUGUCUUGAUAUAUUUUAAGAUGUUUCAAUUCAUAAAUGCCCCUUUCUAUAAUUAAUAAUGUCAUUAUGAUAGUUCCCUAAUUUUGGUUCAUAAAUUUAUUUUUGAAAAAUUAAAUUAAAAUCAUGGGUCAAUGUACACCUCAAAAGAAAAAAAAAAGACAAUUACAAGUUAUCCAACUUCAAAUCUAAUUAACUAUUUUAAUUUGUAAUAAAAUUUCCCAUUGUAUUAUCUUAUUAAUAUCAAUUUCUAAGACAUUAAGUUGUUUCUGGCUCAAAGAAAAAGUCUUUCAUAAGUAACAGCAUACAAGUUGCAUCCAUCAUGGCAUAGAGUUCCAUGGAUUCAUGGAUCAAAGGCUCAUAAGCCAUAGUUAACAAUGUGAAU